CUGGGCCGGCGAGGGGCGGGCCGAGGGGAAGGGAGAGGAAGGAAGGGAGGCCGGGCCAGAGCCUCCGCUCACCGAGGCGGGAAGAGGGGGCCGGCACCCCGGGCUUCUGGGGCUACCAAGAUGGGCGGGGGGGCCCCGGGAGGCCCCCAGGAAGAGGCGCCUCUGUAAGGAGCUCAGGACCCCCCUUGUGCCUUGAACCACAAUGUGUCUGCGACUCGGUGGCCUGAGCUGCCAUGACUACAAGAAGCUGCUGAUGAAGACGGGCCUGGUCCUUCUGGUCCUUGGGCACAUCAGCUUCAUCGCGGGCGCCUUGCUGCACGGCACGGCCCUGCGCUACGUCACCGACCCCCAGGAUGCCGUCUCGCUGCAGUAUGCCGUCUCCAACAUCCUCGCCGUCACCUCAGCCAUUCUGAUCAUCACCUGUGGGAUCACAGUCAUUGUGCUGUCCAGAUACCUCUCCCUCACCUCCCUGCGGUGGACGGUGUUUGCUGCCAGUGUGACCAGUGCCCUCUUCUCCCUGGUCUGCUCCCUCGGCCUCUUGGCCUCUAUUGCCAUCACCUUCGCCAACCAGGGCCGGUCACUGCUUGCCACCUGUUCCUUCAGUAACUCGGAGCCCCUCUCUCUGACACCAGACUGUCCCUUUGACCCGACCCGCAUCUAUAGCUCCACCCUGUGUCUCUGGGCCAUCUCCUUGACCCUUUGUGUGGCUGCCAGUGCCUUCGCUGUCCGUGCAGCCCAGCUCACUCACCAGCUGCUGGAACUGAGGCCCUGGUGGGGGAAGAGGAGUCACAAGUUGGAGCUGCCCAGGAGUGUGCGCCCAGGCUGUCCCCCUUCACGCUGUGCCUGCGGUCCCGCUGUAGUCACCCCUCCUGGCUGACAGCAGAUUGCUUCCUGCUUAUUUCCUAAUCAGUUCUUGUCCCCGGUGCUGAACAAAGGUCACAGAAAGCACGAGCCUCGCCGAGGGCCGAGAUCUACUCAGCUGCACCAGCCUGGAGCCAACACUGCUCUGAGAGAUGGACGGCCCAAGGUCCUGGGGCAAGAGAAUCCUGGGACGGUGCCACCUCUCCUGGUCAGAUCUGCGCCCCCCACUCUUGGAAAGACCCAAGCAGGCACUGCCAGUGCCCCAGCCCUGUGCCUGAAGCCUGCCUGCUCCCCACAACCGCCGCUCCCAGCCCCUGGCCACUGGCCCAGGGCACAGCACUGAAACAAGACUUUAUUCUGAAGUUAUUAAAAAGAACAGAGUAAUUCCAA